rnacentral:lncRNA from 1 species
ACAAAUUGGGGAGAGAAUGGCUACAUAAGGAUUCAACGUAACAUCGGAGGUGCCGGAAAAUGUGGAAUUGCAAUGGUGCCAUCUUAUCCCGUGAAGUACUCUUACCAAAAUCCCAACAAACAUUACUCAUCUCUGAUAAAUCCUCUCACAUUCUCAACGGUAAAAGCUAUACUUUCUUAUCUCUCUUCGAUUUUUUUUUUUAAUAUUUUUUUUUCGUUUUUUAUGUUUUCAUAUAAAAAAAAACAACGAAAAGGUUUGAGAAUAUAUCUUCUCUACUCGUGUGCGAAUGUUUUCCAAAAACUCAAAAACAUUUUCUGAAAAUGAAAACAAGAACUAACAAUCGAAAACCAUACCAAUUUUGAAAAGAUUACGAUUGAGUUUUAAUUUGUUUACAUUCUUCGAUGCGACAGAGCAAGGAAAACCCAUUGGGAGUGAAAGAGGGACAGACGAGCGACGCUUAGGAAAGCUUUUAAUGGGAUGAGGAAAGCAGAGAGAUGAUGCAUCUGAAUAACAAAAGACAAUAAUCUUUGCUUUCCAGUUAUGGAAUUCAUGUAUUGAAUAAGAGUGGCUAUAGGGGAUUUGUUUGUCCUCAUAAUAUUGGUUCCUCUACUGUGUUUUCUAAUUCCUUUAAGUCCUCAUAAAAGUGUACUUUUUAUGUGGUAAUAAUAAAAUGGUAGUGUGUUUUCACUGCUUUCAAGUUACCUUGUUCAUAUGGCUAACUUAAUUAAUAAUUCAGCAUAAAAAAUACUAAUUCUAACACAUGUUUUAUAUUUUUUCUUUUCUUUUGAUUUAAUUUAAAUAAGUUAUAUAAGUUAAUGGCGAGAGUUGUACUUAGAGUAACAUGAACAACUAAGAUUUAACUCAGUUAGAAAAUUAACAAACUUCAAUUUUCAUGAAGUUUCGAUUUAUUUAUAUAUUGAAUGAAUUCCAAAAUGAGCUUUAAGAAAGUCUAAUUCACAAGCAAAUUUGUACAAGUGUUUGGAGCAUGUACUUGGGGAGAUUUAAAAAAUAUAUAUAUAUAUAAACUAAACUAAAAAUUAAAUAAAGUGAUGAAAAUAAAAAUAAAAAAGUAAGACGAUGUAACUCUUUAGAACUAUUAGAUCAUUCACUUUUUUCAUUUCUUUUCUUUUUUCACGAAAUUCUUGAUCUAAACAUAGCAUAAAACACCUCCAAACUUCAACUUCAUCAAUUGCAAAUCCAUGUGAGGACAUACUCAAAGCAGAGGUCAAGUUCGAAACUGGCCUUAGCUAUGCCUCUUUUUGUAUAUUUCCUUGAUAAUAUCUGAAUCUGUGUGUGGUAUUUAAAAUGCAUUCCCUGAAUCUCUAUAGUAAGGUUUUAAAAUUUUAUUGCUAUUUCCAUAAUUGAAACUCAGUGACAGUAAGUAUAUAUAUCACUUCACUUCAAGAAAGUGAAGUGAUACCGUCUUAUUUGAAUGUAAUAUUUAAUAUUCAAAAUUUAUUAACUUUUAUGUGUAUGUGAGGUCCAUUAUAUCUAUAUUCUAGUUUUUAAUAGAUGGUGAUAUCGCAUGUAGAGAUGGCAAUCUCCGCUCCACCCUGCCUCCACCCUAAUUGAGGCGAAUAUCCACAUACUUUUAGGAAAUGGAGUGAGGAUAAAGAAAAAUGUGAACAUGUCGAGGGAUCAUUAUGCAUACCUCCAUUCCAAAUCUCUUCUUUGAAUGAUAAGAAGCACAAUCACUUAAACUAGGCUAAAGUCUAAUUCAAACAUAGCCUUAACAACUCCAUAUUAUAGAAACAAAAACUAAGUAAUAGUGAACUUAAAAAUUGGGCGUAUCCCAAUUUGUAUUACUAUUUUUUUCCUAGCUUCUUAUUUGCACCUCACAAUUAAAAAAUCUAUAAUCUGUUGAAAGAAACUGCACUAGUAAAUGAUAUGGUUAGAAGUUACAGGAUCUAAAGGUUCGAGAUGAUUGAAUCAUCUAACGUUUCUAAUGUCAGAGUCAAGAGUAAAUGGGUCAAAAAGAGAUUUCUGUAAAAGCACAACGCAAGGUGUAAUUACCCAAAAAUAAUACUGAGUCAACACAAGUGAGUCAAAAGCCGAGUGAACGAACAACGCAAAGUGUCAGAAACGCACCUUGGAUGUGGAGAGCCUUUGUUUUGAAUCUUUGAUGGGUUGUGACCGUUCAUAGAGCCGCACUUCCUCUUCCCCUACGACGAAGGCCGCGGCGGCCGACCACUCCCUGCCGACGCCGACGACGACAACGAAUUCGCCGCUGAUUUUUUGAGGAAGCGGAAGUAAACAAUAAACCCUAGAAAUCGAAUCCGUUUUUUUUUAAUGGUCCGAUUCUGAUCCAACAGCUCUGAUUCUCUGAUUUUCUCUUGUUAAGAAUCUCUUGUUAAGAAAUCAUAGGGUCCUCUUCUGAAGCGAGCGUGGCCGAUUUUGGUCCGAUUGAUCAUAGUGAAAAAACAUGGCCCUAGUCAUAAUGGGUCCCGCAUAAUAAUGGGUCCCAAAGUCAACAAGGAUCAUGACUAUAUUUAGCCUGGUAAUGCUUAAAAGCAAAUUUUUUUUUUAGUUUGCUACUAAAAAAUUUAAAAAAUUUAAAAAAUUUAGAUUUUUUUGCUUUCAUAUAUUUACUUUAGCUAAAAAAAAUUAAAAAAAUCAACUCUAGUGGUUUUUUUGCUUAUAAGCUUAACGUCUUGUCAGGGCAAAUGUUUUUUUUGAAUUUUUUUAAUAGUCUUAACUUUUGAUUUUUUUUUAUUUUAAAUAAUUUUUUUAAUUAUUUUAUUAAAAUUUUAUAUUUUAUCGAUUCUUCUGUGGAUGGAAAUCCAAAAAUAUAAAUAAUUUUAUAUAAUUUAUAAAAAAACUCACUAAAGAUAAAAAAUUAUUUUUUAGAUUUUUUUGAAUGAAAUUAUUAUUUUUGGCCUUUUGUAUUUUUUUUCAAAUUAGAUGAAUAUUUUUAUAUUUUUAGACUAUAAUCAAGAUCAAAUGGAAAAAAGAGUUAACUAAAAUACCAAAAAACAGAGUCGGCAGAGAUUUGUAAAAGAAAAAAAAUAUUAAACUUGAAUCGUUAGAUUCGUUGACUUUUCUUUUUUUUUUUCUCUACCAAAUCAUAAAUCCAAAUAUAGCCUUGAACAAUUUAAGAUUGUAUUUCAAUAAAAAAAUUGGUAAGAUUUGUUAAGGAAAAUGAAAAAUUAAAAAAAAGAAAAUGCUACACAUCAUCCAAAGAACGGUGAUUUUUUUUUAAUAGGAAAGAAAUAUAUUGAUAAUUAUGAAAAUUGUAUAUAAAUUUAUAAAUAUUCGUAUUAACUACCGCUCAAUAAAUCUAACAAGCGAUGAUUGAGAGUGAAGUCAUGUGUCCAAUUGUUUUUGGUUUCAAUUUAUAUUUAUAUUUAAUGGGGUAUGAGGCCCAUAACCCAUGCACGCGAGAUCUAUUAUGUAUAUUAUUAAUUGAAUGACGAUAUGGAAUAAAAUUGAAUGAUAAGAAUAAGUUUGUAGAUAGAUUGUCAUAUUUUAAGACAAUUUUGAUUUGUAAUCAUACUGCUAUAAAUAUUAAAUCAAUUUAACUUUUUUUUUAUAGACAAUCUAUGUUCAUAGACUUAAAAAAAUGAAUCGAUUGAGAUCCUGUUUUGGGUAUUUAUUUAUUUUAUCUUUUUAUGUUAGUAAAUUUUUUUCAUCGUUUUUUUAAAUUUUAAAUUUUUUUAGUUUAUUUUGACAAGAAUAGUCCGAAGAUAGAUUUUUUUUUUAUCUAAUUUGAUUUUUUUUUAUUAAAAACGAUUAUAUUUUUUGACUCCUUUUGUCAAUAAAAAUUAAAAAAAUAUAAAUUUUUAAUCAAACAAAAAAAUAAAUUCACUAUAAAUAAAAACUUGAAAAUAAAAAAAUAAAAAUAUCCAAACUUGAAUCGAUGAAUCUUUUAGUCAUCCAAACCGGACCGACAUAGCACAAAAAUCAAAUCUAUUUGGAUAAACUGCAGAAUUCACGUGUAUACUGAAAAUCAAAGGCUGACAGCCUCGUCAAUCAGCGCAUUAAAUUGGAAAAUUAUUCAGUGCUUUGAGCGCAAGUCCUAGUAGUGUUCUAACAUUAGAAUGAUUGAUCUAAAAUACUGAUAUUCAUUAACUUUUGUGUAUAAAUUGUAGUCGACAUGUGCAAAUGUAUCACUCAGUAAAUGAUGUAGAGCAAUACUCUAAGAGUAUCGAAUAAUCUCUCAUUAAAUUUGGAUCAGCUGGGCUUGAAUCUGAACCGAAGUCCAGUUACAAGCAUUCACGAGGUGAGCAUCUUUUGUGAAGAUAGACCCAUCAUCCAUCCCGACCCAAUAGUGGCCGCAAAAAGUUCUGGCCCGGCCCACCUUCAUAGCACGUCCAAUUCAGAUCAUUUGUCCAAAUCGUUCGACCGAUUAGCCUAGAUUAUUCGGCCCGUUUUUUGGCCCAACCCAUCCGAUCCUCCACACUUCUCCAGCGCCAAGAACUGUACCAUUGGACUAAACUCAUUCAUUAAUAAAAAUAUUAAAUUUUAAUAAAUAAAUACAUCGUCAAAUAAUAAAAAAGAGGAGAAUUUUUUAGGGACCAAUAUUUGAACCCGCAACCUCGACCCUCUGCACCUAGAACCAUACUACUAGGCCAAACACUCAAUUCAUUUAUAAAAAGGUUAUGUUUUAAUAGUAAACAAAUCGCCAAACAAUAACAAGAAAAGAAGAAUAUUUGAGAGAGCAAGAUUCGAACUCACAACCUCCCUCCCCUGCAGCUUGAACCAUACUACUGGACCAAACACUUAUUCAUUUAUAAAAAUUAGUAAUUGUCCGUACCCACGAGCACUAUGUAAAAAAAAAUAUUACUUCUUAAGCAUACUCGUUAGAGUUUUGCAACAUAAAAAAACACAUAAGAUAUAAAUGUCAGAUAAGAGAUUUAUUGUAUGCAUAUACGAAAGGAUACAUUACUAUAAAAUAGAAAAUAAAUUAAAAAGUAUAAUAAUUUUUAAAAAAAUAUUACUAAUUUGAGAGAAAUGAGAAGAAAAGAAAGGGGGUUUUAUUUUUUUUGUAUGUGGGUCCCACU